CUAAUAUAUCUGUAUGGUUAGCCCUACUAAGCUCUAUGCUUUAAGACAUUAUAGUGGUAAAUAAGGGAACCACCUGCAGUUACAGAUGGACAGACUGACAGACAACAUCUCACUGAUACACAUACACUGACAUACACUCACUUACAGACAGUCAUUGUCUCACACACGGUUUAACUAACACACACAUUCACUGACAGACACACACUGACACAAACACACUCUCAGAGAC